UACAUGUGGGGCAAGCGUUGUUCGGAAUUACUGGGCAUAAAGGGUGCGUAGGCGGCUUGUUAAGUCAGGGGUGAAAGUUUUCGGCCCAACCGGAAAAUUGCCUUUGAUACUGGCGAGCUUGAGUGCGUGAGGGGUAACCGGAACGAGUGGUGUAGCGGUGAAAUGCGCAGAUAUCAGGAGGAACACCGGUGGCGAAGGCGGUUCUCUGGGCCUACCUGACGCUGAGGAGCGAAAGCGUGGGGAGCAAACAGG
rnacentral:rRNA from 1 species